rnacentral:rRNA from 1 species
AGCGGCGAACGGGUGAGGAAUACAUGGGUAACCUACCCUAGAGUGGGGAAUAACUAGCCGAAAGGUUAGCUAAUACCGCGUACGCUUCUUGGACUUCGGUUCAGGGAGGAAAGCGCUACCGAGGGUAGCGCGCUCUUGGAUGGGCUCAUGUCCUAUCAGCUUGUUGGUGAGGUAACGGCUCACCAAGGCUUCGACGGGUAGCUGGUCUGAGAGGACGAUCAGCCACACUGGCACUGCGACACGGGCCAGACUCCUACGGGAGGCAGCAGUAAGGAAUAUUGCGCAAUGGGCGAAAGCCUGACGCAGCGACGCCGCGUGGGGGAUGAAGGUCUUCGGAUUGUAAACCCCUUUCGGGAGGGAAGAUGGAAUGGGGUAACCCAUUCGGACGGUACCUCCAGAAGCAGCCACGGCUAACUUCGUGCCAGCAGCCGCGGUAAUACGAAGGUGGCAAGCGUUAUUCGGAUUUACUGGGCGUACAGGGAGCGUAGGCGGUUCGGUAAGCCCUUUGUGAAAUCUCCAGGCUUAACCUGGAACAGUCGGAGGGGACUGCCGGGCUAGAGGACGGGAGAGGAGCGCGGAAUUCCCGGUGUAGCGGUGAAAUGCGUAGAGAUCGGGAGGAAGGCCGGUGGCGAAGGCGGCGCUCUGGAACGUUUCUGACGCUGAGGCUCGAAAGCGUGGGGAGCAAACAGGAUUAGAUACCCUGGUAGUCCACGCCUUANACUAUGAAUACUAAG